CAAGAUUUCGAUAAACCGCCCUCUCAAGCAUCGGUUGUUUCAAGUUACUGUUCAACUGAUAAAAGCGUUGUCAGUGGGGAUCAUACCGGCUGAGUCCUGCUCAAAAGAGAAAUCCUGUUGGGCAAACAUUUUGUGCAGCCUCAGCAGGAGUAUACACAUAUGGUGAAAGUCUUCUUGAAUCUCAUUCACACAGCACAGAAGACAGGGUUGGUGUGCUGCUUCUGAAUCUUUGGGGGCCAGAAACACUUCAUGAUGUUCAGCC
rnacentral:misc_RNA from 1 species